rnacentral:rRNA from 1 species
UGCAGUCGAGCGAUGAAGCACCUUCGGGUGUGAAUUAGCGGCGAACGGGUGAGGAACACGUGAAGAAUCUGCCUUCAACUCUGGGAUAACUCCGGGAAACCGGGGCUAAUACCGGAUAUGAGCCUUGAUCGCAUGAUCGGGGCUGGAAAGUUUUUCGGUUGAAGAUGACUUCGCGGCCUAUCAGCUUGUUGGUGAGGUAAUGGCUCACCAAGGCGACGACGGGUAGCCGGCCUGAGAGGGCGACCGGCCACACUGGGACUGAGACACGGCCCAGACUCCUACGGGAGGCAGCAGUGGGGAAUAUUGGGCAAUGGAGGAAACUCUGACCCAGCGACGCCGCGUGAGGGAUGAAGGCCUUCGGGUUGUAAACCUCUUUCAGUAGGGAAGAAGCGAAAGUGACGGUACCUACAGAAGAAGCACCGGCUAACUAUGUGCCAGCAGCCGCGGUAAUACAUAGGGUGCAAGCGUUGUCCGGAAUUAUUGGGCGUAAAGAGCUCGUAGGCGGUUUGUCACGUCUGCUGUGAAAAUCCGAGGCUCAACCUCGGACUUGCAGUGGGUACGGGCAGGCUAGAGUGCGGUAGGGGAGAAGGGAAUUCCUGGUGUAGCGGUGGAAUGCGCAGAUAUCAGGAGGAACACCAAUGGCGAAGGCACUUCUCUGGGCCGUAACUGACGCUGAGGAGCGAAAGCGUGGGGAGCGAACAGGAUUAGAUACCCUGGUAGUCCACGCCGUAAACGGUGGGUGCUAGCUGUGGGCCACAUUCCACGUGGUCCGUGACGAAGUUAACA